rnacentral:rRNA from 1 species
UACGAAGGGUGCAAACGUUGCUCGGAAUUAUUGGGCGUAAAGCGCACGUAGGCGGCUAUCUAAGUCGGAUGUGAAAUCCCUCGGCUUAACCAAGGAAGUGCACCCGAAACUGGAUAGCUUGAGUACAGAAGAGGAUCGCGGAAUUCCCGGUGUAGAGGUGAAAUUCGUAGAUAUCGGGAGGAACACCAGUGGCGAAGGCGACUUCCUGGCCUGUUCUUGACGCUGAGGCGCGAAAGCUAGGGGAGCAAACGGG